AGUGGGGAUGGGGCAGAGAAAGAGGGAGACACAGAAUCUGAAGCAGGCUCCAGGCUCUGAGCUGCGAGCACAGAGCCCGACACGGGGCUCGAACUCACGAACUGUGAGAUCAUGACCUGAGCCAAAGCUGGACGCUCAACCAACUGAGCCACCCAGGCGUCCCUCAUAAAUGCUAUUCUAAACUGUGUUACUUGUAAAAGUACUUUUAAAAUUAUUUUUGCUGCUGGGGAGCCUGGGUGGCUCAGUCGGUGAAGCAUCCGGCUUAGGCUCAGGUCAUGACCUCGCCAUCUGUGAGUUGGAGCUCCGAAUUGGGCUGUGCUGACAGCUCAGAGCCUGGAGCCUGCUUCAGAUUCUGUCUCCCUCUCUCUCUGCCCCUCCCCUGCUCACGCUCUGUCUCUCUUUCUCUCUCUCCUUCAAAAAUAAAUAAACAUUAAAAAUAAAUAAAAAAAUUAUUUUUGCUGCCAAAAGUAAAGUAAAAAGUGAGUUUGGUGGGGGUGAGGGGGAUACAUUAUUUAAUCAUGUAUUUCGAAACCAGGGAUGGAAAAGAAAUAAUCACUACAGGAUAGAUAUUAAGUAUUCACCUAAGAUGUUUAGGCUAGCAGAACAACAACAUUCUUGUUUUUCAAAGUGUGGGCCUUUGACCACCUGCUUCAAAAUCUCUUUAGAAAAUAAGCAAACUGCACCUAAGACCACCUGAAGUCAAAUCCCUGGGAAUAGAUUGCAGUUAUCUGAAUUUUAAAAAUCCGGUUUCCAUCAUUCUUUAGUAGAUUGUAGAUCUUUCUGUUCUUUAUUGAUUGUAAAUAACGUGCUGGAACAUUCGCAGUCAUAGGCAGCCGGGCAGCUGAGAUUUUCCCCAGUGACUGUCUUUGCUGGCCCAGUGGGGUUUCCUAACCCUUUGUGUUCUAUGCACCCCACUGGGAGUCUGGUAAAGCUAUGGAUCCUCUUUUAGAAUAAUGUUUUGAACUGAAUAAAUAAAACACAUAGGAUUACUGAGAAAAAUUAUAUUGAAAUGCAGUCACAAGGAAAAAAUGUAAUACAUGCCUUUCAAAAUGAAUAUACAAAAUAAUAAUGCUUAGUAGUAUCUGUAAUAACUAACAAAGUUUCAAAGCAGUGAUGAGCAUAAAUGAAAUUCUGAUGUCUUUAACAACGGAUGUAUCUAUGCUUCUAUUAAUGAUAUCUCUUUCUGUUACUGGUAUUGCUAACGAUUGGUUUAUUUCCAUGUAAAAUAGAAGAAAAUGACCUGAGCCGAAGUCGGACGCUUACCUGACUGAACCACCCAGGUGCCCCUGUAUACCUCCUGAAUUCAAACCCCAGCUAAGGACUUCUUUUCUUUUUUAAUUUUUAUUUAUUUCUGAGAGAGACAGAGGCAGAAUGUGAGCAGGGGAGGGGCAGAGAGAGAGAGGCAGUCACAGAAUCCGAAGCAGGCUCCAGACUCUGAGCUGUCAGCACAGAGCCCGACAUGGGGCUCGAACCCAUGAACCGUGAGAUCAGGACCUGAGCCGAAGUUGGAUGCUCAACCGACUGAGCCACCCAGGGGCCCCUAAAGAUUUCUUUUCUAGAAAGAGAUAGAUGGUAAGCACACGAAAACUUUUCUUGCUUCCCAGACACACAAAGGUGCUGUUCUUAUUUGCCUUGGAAUUGUGUUGGGUGCUUGACUUCUUAGAGACCUCUUACCUGCCCACCUUACAGACAGGUGUCGGAUGGGAAAUCUGGACACCCAGUGGGCAGUUUUCCUUUUGGGCCAUUCAUUCCCAAGAUCCCCGGAAUAAGCUAAUUCCUCUAUAGCUUCCCACGCUGAGUUGCUAAGGGUGGAAGAAGAUUGCUUACAUUACAGGGGUAGAAGCUUAGUCCUCGGCCCUACAGUUGGGGCUUCUGAAACAGGCGUGUGAAAAUAAACCAUACACGCAUUUAUUUUUAAAGCCUCCCCCAUAGCCGCAGCAUAUCGGGAUUCGUACCAAAGGGCCUUAACUACUGGUGCGUCACUCCAUGAUGGUGAAUGAAGGGCUCAGAGCCCAGAGGGUCCAUCUUGUAGAUGAGACCUGUGGCUACCACACUUGGCCCCCAUCAGGGUGCAGAGUUGCUGAGGGAAUGUGGGUCCUUCAGUACGACCUCCGCUAUUCCAUUGGAAGUGACCAUCAGCGCCUCCUGCUGGUGGGGUUGUUCACCCGGGCAGGUGAAGGCACAAUGAAUUGGGCACCAGGAAACAGGUUCCAGGCAGUGAUGCUGACAGAUUGUGUGACAGCUCUUUUUUCUAUCCUGCCUCCAGUUCUUCAGCUAGAAUCCAGAGGGUUCUAUUAGGCCCUCUUUUAUGCAGUGGUCGUAUUAGCUGGCUAAGGCUGCUGCAAUAACGUGCCACAGACUGAGCACCGGAAGCAAUGGAGAUUUAUUUUCUCACAGUUUUGGGAGCCGGAAGUCUGAAAUCAAGGAGAGCACCAUCAUGGAGCCCACGCCAGCUUUCCACAUGCUUACCCUGGAUUUUAGCAGUAAAUUGUUGGGUGUUCACAUAGUGUGUUAUUUGCUGUAUGGCACUUUAUCUGUGUUUAUAAACCAUAGACUUGGUUUUCCUGCCAACUUCAGUGUGGGAUAAUUGAAAUUAAAAAGAAAGAAACCGAG